AUUGAACGCUGGCGGCAUGCCUUACACAUGCAAGUCGAACGGCAGCACGGGUGCUUGCACCUGGUGGCGAGAGGCGAACGGGUGAGUAAUACAUCGGAACAUGUCCUGUAGUGGGGGAUAGCCCGGCGAAAGCCGGAUUAAUACCGCAUACGAUCUACGGAUGAAAGCGGGGGACCUUCGGGCCUCGCGCUAUAGGGUUGGCCGAUGGCUGAUUAGCUAGUUGGUGGGGUAAAGGCCUACCAAGGCGACGAUCAGUAGCUGGUCUGAGAGGACGACCAGCCACACUGGGACUGAGACACGGCCCAGACUCCUACGGGAGGCAGCAGUGGGGAAUUUUGGACAAUGGGCGAAAGCCUGAUCCAGCAAUGCCGCGUGUGUGAAGAAGGCCUUCGGGUUGUAAAGCACUUUUGUCCGGAAAGAAAUCCUUGGCCCUAAUACGGUCGGGGGAUGACGGUACCGGAAGAAUAAGCACCGGCUAACUACGUG
rnacentral:rRNA from 1 species